GAUGAACGCUGGCGGCGUGCCUAAUACAUGCAAGUCGAGCGAACAGAUGAGGAGCUUGCUCCUCUGACGUUAGCGGCGGACGGGUGAGUAACACGUGGAUAACCUACCUAUAAGACUGGGAUAACUUCGGGAAACCGGAGCUAAUACCGGAUAAUAUAUUGAACCGCAUGGUUCAAUAGUGAAAGACGGUUUUGCUGUCACUUAUAGAUGGAUCCGCGCCGCAUUAGCUAGUUGGUAAGGUAACGGCUUACCAAGGCAACGAUGCGUAGCCGACCUGAGAGGGUGAUCGGCCACGCUGGAACUGAGGCACGGUCCAGACUCCUACGGGAGGCAGCAGUAGGGAAUCUUCCGCAAUGGGCGAAAGCCUGACGGAGCAACGCCGCGUGAGUGAUGAAGGUCUUCGGAUCGUAAAACUCUGUUAUUAGGGAAGAACAAAUGUGUAAGUAACUAUGCACGUCUUGACGGUACCUAAUCAGAAAGCCACGGCUAACUACGUG
rnacentral:rRNA from 1 species